rnacentral:rRNA from 1 species
CUCUGAGAAAAUUAGAGUGUUUCAAGCAGACUUUUGUCUUGAAUACUUCAGCAUGGAAUAAUAGAGUAGGCACUUAGUUCUAUUUUCUUGGUUUUGAGCCCUGGUAAUAGUUUAUAGGAACGGUUGCGGGCAUUCGUAUUUAACUGUCAGAGGUGAAAUUCUUAGAUUUGUUAAAGACGAACCACUGCGAAAAGCAUUUGCCAAGGACGUUUUCAUUAAUCAAGAACGAAAGUUAGGGGAUCGAAGACGAUCAGACACCGUCGUAGUCCUAACCAUAAACUAUGCCGACUAGGGAUUGGAGGCAGGCAUUUUCCGACUCCAUCAGCACCUUGAGAGAAAUCAAAGUCUUAGAGUUAUAGGGAGAGUAUAGUCGCAAGUCUAAGACUUAAAGGAAUUGACGUAAGGGCACCACCAGGCGUGGAGCCUGCGGCUUAAUUUGACUCAACACGGGGAACCUCACCAGGUCCAGACAGAGUAAGGAUUGACAGAUUGAUAGCUCUUUCUUGAUUCUUUGGGUGGUGGUUCACGGCCGUUAUUAGUUGGUGGAGUGAUUUGUCUGGUUAAUUCCGUUAA